rnacentral:lncRNA from 1 species
ACCAGGUCCACUGGACACCAAACGUGGAGGCUGUAUUAGCCCGUUUUGUGUUGCUCUAGAGGAAUACCUGAGACUGGGUUAUUUAUUUAUUUAUUUAUUUAUUUAUUUAUUUAUUUAUUUUUGAGAUGAAGUCUAGCUCUGUCACCCAGGCUGGAGUGCAGUGGUACGAUCUCAGGCUGCUGCAACCUCUGCCUCCUGGGUUCAGGCUAUUCUCCUGCCUCAGCCUGCUGAGUAGCUGGGAUUACAGGCAUGGACCACCAUGCCUGGCUAAUUUUUUGUAUUUUUAGUAGAGGCAGGGUUUUGAGAUAGAGUUUCGCUCUUGUAGCCCAGGCUACAGUGCAGUGGUGCAAUAUCGGCUCACUGCAACCUCCGCCUCCAGGGUUCAAGCAAUUCUCAUGCCUCAGCCACCCAAGUAGCUGGGAUUAUAGGCGUGCACCACCAUGCCUGGCUAAUUUUGUAUUUUUAGUAGAGACAGGGUUUUACCAGGUUGGCCAGCCUAGUCUUGAACUCCUGAUCUCAAGUAAUUUACUCGCCUUGGCCUCUCAAAGUGCUGGGAUUACAGGCGUGAGCACCGCUCCUGGCCCUGAGACUGGGUAAUUUAUAAAAGAAGUUUAUUUGCCUCAUAGUUCUGCAGGCUGUACAAGCAUCUGCUAGGCUUCUGGUGAAGCGUCAGGAAGCUUUUACUCCUGGCGGGAGGCAAAGAGGGAGCAGACGUGUCGCAUGGUGAGAGAGGGAGCAAGAGAGAGGAGGCAUCAGGCUCUCCUGUGAACUAAUAGAAAACUCACUCAUUGAAUCACUUGAACCCAGGAGGUGGAGGUUGCAGUGAGCCAAGAUCGCGCUACUGCACUCCAGCCUGGGCUGUGAGUGAGACUCUGUCUCAAAAAAAAAGGAAGGAAAGAAAGAGAAAAAAAAAUUAGAAAUUAGAAAACUCACUCAUUACCAUGGGGAGGGCACUAAGCCAUUCAUGAGGGAUCCCCCACCAUGACCCAAACACCUCACACUAUAGGCCCCACCUCCAGCACUGGGGAUCACAUUUCAACACGAGAUGUGGAUGGGACAAGUAUCCACACUAUGUCAGAGGCCUCCCUGUCAUCAGAGUCUUCUGUCCUCGGUUCAGGUGCAUGCUGGCUUCCAUGCCUGGCUUCCUAGGAAGUCAUCUUGGCCCCAUGGGGUUGGGCCGGGCCACUAGGCUGAGGGUUGGAGCCCUAUCUCUCCUAGUCCCAGCCUGGGUCUCCAUCACUGACUAGCCCGCUCUGCUUGCUGCAUUCUCUCCACACCUGUUCCCUGUAGCCCAGGGGUCAGUCUGGGUGCAGGCCUGGGUAGAGGUCCAGGAGCAGAUUCUGCCCCCCAGCUCAUACCUCCUGUGCACCAUGGCAGCCAAAAUGCACCAGCAUGACCAGGAGUGCUGGCUUGUCCCUGUAAUCCCAGUGUUUUUGGGAGGCUGAGGUGGAAAGAUCACUUGAGACCAGCCUAGGCAACAUAGCCAGACCCUGUCUCUACAAAAAAUAAAAUUAGGCAUGGUGGCGUGUGCCUGUAGUCCCAGUAUAGCAGGACAAGCCGCAGACAAAACUUCGUAGACACCGAGUUGUAGAAGAAGGGCUUUAUUCAGCUGGGAGCAUCGGCAAGCUACUGCCUUAAAAUCCGAGCUGAGUGCACAAUUUUUGUCCCUUUUAAGGCCUCACAACACUAAAGAUUUCACAUGAAAGGGUCGUGAUUGAUUUGAGCA